AGUGAACGCUGGCGGCGUGCUUAACACAUGCAAGUCGAACGAGAACGGGAUAUAGCUUGCUAUAUUUGUCAGCUAAGUGGCGCACGGGUGAGUAAUGUAUAGAUAACCUGCCCUCUAGAAAGGAAUAACAGUUGGAAACGACUGCUAAUGCCCUAUAUGCCUUUAAUACAUAAGUAUGCAAGGGAAACGCUUUAGUGCUAGAGGAUGGGUCUGUAUGGUAUCAGCUUGUUGGUGAGGUAAUGGCUCACCAAGGCUAUGACGCCUAACUGGUUUGAGAGGAUGGUCAGUCACACUGGAACUAAGACACGGUCCAGACUCCUAUGGGAGGCAGCAGUGGGGAAUAUUGCACAAUGGACGAAAGUCUGAUGCAGCAACGCCGCGUGGAGGAUGACACAUUUCGGUGCGUAAACUCCUUUUAUAUAGGAAGAUAAUGACGGUACUAUAUGAAUAAGCACCGGCUAACUCCGUGCCAGCCGCCGCGGUAA
rnacentral:rRNA from 1 species